AAAGAAUUAGUUAAAUAAUAACAUUAAAAUGUCAUUUUAAAAUUAUUACCUUUUUAAAUUAAAUAAUAUUCUUUU
rnacentral:tRNA from 1 species